CACCCCCACUAGCCUCCAUUUCUUCAGCAUGGCUUGCCGCCGCCACCGCCUCUUCCUGUUGUCAUAGCAACAGGAUCCAGGCGCCCAGCCAAGGUUGGCAGCGGCGGCCGGAAAUAAGGGGAGGGCCUUUUUAAAAAGACCCCAGGAAUGCCCUCCCCACCUCUUCCCCCCCCCCCAAAAAAAAUCAAGGAAAAGCUCAGCUUCCCAGGUCUUUUCUCCUCUUUUCUCAAGUAGCGGGGCCAAAGAUUGCUUCCAAAUGAACCAUCAUUCAUUUACAAGCACAGCAAGCAUUUUGAGUUUUACCAACAAUUUUCUUUUUCUUGGUACCCUCUGCUUCCCCAUUGCUUAACCCUGACGGAAAAGGAGGAUGUCGUUCGGUUCUCAUCAAGACAAGAAUCAGGCUGGGGAACAAAGAGGAUAGAUAAACGCAUUCAGGACUGGGCUGGAGAACUAGGCAACAGUUGUGAACAUAGCUGUCACUUCUAAAACUAACCAGUGAGUAUGGGAUGGGCCAAUUUCAGGUAGGGAAAAAAAAAAAAAAACAGACGAUUUUAACUUUGUUCUUGGUCUGAGUUUCAGGAAUGUCUCCUGGCUUCUGGGUGACCUUGGACCAAACAUUUCCUGUCCUUCUAAACUCAGCCAUUCUGGGGACCAGAGUUGCCUUGAGACAAAAUGAUAACAGCCUGGAAAGUCGCCUCACUUUUUUUUUAAAGGACGAUGUAAAUUGAGCCAGGAGUAGUGGUGCACAUUUUUGAUCCCAGGGAGGUAGAGAUAGGAGCAUCAGAGUUCAAGGUUGUCCUUGGUUACAUAGGGAGUUUGAGGUCAGCCUGAGCUACAUGGGCAUGGGGGGAGGGGGGAGGGAAAACGACACCAUAAAAAAAUCUUAAGAACUAGCCAAGGUUUGUCUCUCUUGGGCUAGACAGCCCACAAACCACUUUAUCUCAGGAAAUUCUUACAAAGUAUCUGUGAAAUGGGCAGGCUGAGACUCUGAGAUGUGAAGCCAUUCACCCAAGAUCACCCAGGGGAUACGAGGCAGAGCUGAGUUGAAGCAGCUUUUUUGUGGAGAAAGACCAGCAAUGGACUCAGCGCCUUGUAAGCAUCCUGUCUUGGAGAGAAGCAGUUCAGAGGUUAGCCCUGUACUGUUUUAUUUUAAUGACUUAUUUCUCUGCUUGUUGUAUAUAUGUAUGGACACAUCUUUGCAUAUGUGUACAGGUGCGUGCGUGCGUGUGUGCGUGCGUGCGUGCGUGCGUGUGUGUGUGCGUGCGUGCGUGCGUGCGCGUGCGUGUGUGCGUGCGUGCGUGCGUGUGUGUGUGUGUGUGCGUGCGUGCGUGCGUGUGUGCGUGCGUGCGUGUGUGUGUGUGUAACGGAAGUCCGCGUCGCUAUCUUCUUCAUGCUCUCCAUCUUAUAUCUUGGGACAGGGUCUCUCACUGAGAUUGAGGAGUCUGUUAGACUGGUCAGGCAGCAGAACUCAGGCUGUUUCUGUUCCUCUUCCCUUCUCCUGAGAUUAUGGGCUCUGCCACACUCAGAUGCUUCCAUAGGUGCAGGGAAUUUAAACUCAGAUCUUCACGCCUUUGCUGCAAGCCUCUCACUGGCUGAGCCACCUGUACAACUUCUAGUUAUUUGUUUUUAUUUUAAAGACAGGUUCUCUUGUGUCGCAGGCUGGCCAGGAAUUCACUGUGCAGUCAAAGAUGACCCUGAACUUCUGAUCUUCUUGUCUCUAUCUCCUGAACUUUGGGAUUAUGGGUGUACAAUACCAUACUUAGUUUUGUUGUUGUUGUUGUUGUUGUUGUUUUCGAGACAGGGUUUCUCUGUGUAGCCCUGUCUGUCCUGGAACUCACUCUGUAGAUUAGGCUGGCCUUGAACUCAGAAAUCCGCCUGCCUCUGCCUCCUGAGUGCUGGGAUUAAAGGUGUGCGCCACCAACACCCGGCACCAUACUUAGCUUUAAGUUGCUUAAUUCAUUUCAUUGUAUUUCUUUUUCUGUGCAAUUAUAGGAAAUAGGAGGAGUAUGCAUGCCAUGAUAUUUAUGUGCAUACCAGAGGACAGUCAGUGAGAAUUGGUUCUCUCCACAAUAUAGGUCCCAGAAAGGGAACUCAUCACAUCAGGCCUGGUGCAAGUACCUUUUAUCCAAUAAGCUAUUGGGGGCGGGGGGGGAUGUCUUAUUAUGUAGACUAGAUUGGCUUUAAACUUCUAUCAGCUUCCCUUCCUGAGCCUCUCAAGUGCUGGGAUUUCAGGCAUGCAUCAUCAUGUCUAGUUUAGCUCUCAUUUUAUAGACAUAAAAACUGAAGGUGAGAAAGAGAAGCAUGACACAUAGCUAGGAAUCGACGUCAGCUGACGUCAACAUUGGGUAUCACAUAGUGAAGUCACGCCAGGGUUUCCCAGCCUUGCUGUGACUGACAUCCACACCAGGUGUGACUUUCUUGAGGGAUGUAUUUCACAUUGUGGGAGACUGAGCAGCAACCCUGGCUGGCACCCACUAAAAUUGGCAACCUCUCUCUAGUUCUGGUAACCAGAGUAUUCCUUCAGACACUGCCCAGAGUCCCUUUCAAGAUAAAAAUCAGCCACAGUUGAGAAAUAGCAACAUAAAAUAGCCACUGGAGGUAGGGGAUGCCAGCUUUAUUUUUAUUUUAAAUUAAAAUCAAUUUCCUAAAUAACUCAACAUUGCUAGUAACUACUUUUUAGAGUUAAAAAGAACUAAAUAGUACAUGAGGGAUUUUAAGAAAAACAGUUUGCCAAUUCUACUCCAAGUCCUGUUCCUUGUGAGAAGGAGCUGCUAGUGGGGAUUUUGUUGUUGUUGUUUUAGGGUUCUAUAGUUUAUUUUAUACACAUGAGUGUUUGGCUUGCAUCUAUGUAUGCACACCACAUGUGUGCCUGGUGCUGGAUGAGGUCAGAAGAGGGAGUCUGACCUUUGGGAUUUGAGUUACAGAUGGUUGUGAGUCACUGUUUGGAGGCUGGGAGUUGAACCUGGAUGCAGAAGCAACAAUCACUUUAAACCCCGAGCCAUUUCUCCAACCCCACUGUGUGUGUGUGUGUGUGUGUGUGUGUGUGUGUGUGUGUGUGUGCGCGCCUACGUGCACAUGCCAGUGCAGGUGUGAACAACAAAAAAAGGGUGUUGGUGCUAUCUAUCACUUUCUGUCUGUUCCUUCGAGGCAGGGUCUCUCCCUGUGCCUGGACUGUGGCUUAUGGUUUCUCUGGAAGCAAAGCUUUUAGAGCCCCUCCAGUCUCUACUCAUCUUGGAACUGAGAUUGCAGAAGUUUCAGGACACCCACCUUGUUGAGUGAGAGCUGGGACAUAGCUGUGACGGUUAGAAUUGUGCAGCAAGUGCUCUUGAAAGCACAGGACUGUCUCUCUGUCACUGUUUUAAAUCACAUCUUCUCCUGGGGCCUGGGGCUGUAGCACUCACCUUCCCUCCCAGCCCUCAGAAGGCAGAGGACAGAUCUGGGUGUGAGAAAUCCAGGUCAGCCAGGACUACAUAGUGAGACCCUGUCUCAAAAGGAAAUUAUUUUCUGACUUUUCUUUAUCCUGGCAUUUCUAAGAAUAAUUAUCUUUGGGUGUGUCUACAUGAUGCAUUAUCUGUAGGUUUUUGUUUCUCUCAUAGAUAAUGAUUUUACUCAUGAGGAACUCAUCUUUUUCUCCCUUCCUUCACAUAUAAAUAUUUUUACACUGCUGGUUAAUUUUUAUAUGUUAAGUGAUAUGUAAUUAAAGCAUUUGUUAUUCUCGUGACUAAAGACAACACAUUUCAUAUUUAUUAUUUAUCUAUUUUCAUUUCUUUAUGUAUUUAUUGAUUUACAGAAGCUGGUUUUGUUUUGGUUUUUUAUUAUAUAUACAUUUUUAAAUUCACUUUAUAUCCUGCUCAUUGGCCCCCUCCUGGUCACCCCCUCCCACAAUCCUUCCUCUCAUCCCCCCUUCCCUUCUCCUCUGAGCGGGUGGGACACCCCUGAGUAUCCCACUACCCUGGCACAUCUAGUCUCUGCAAGGCUAGCUGCAUCCUCUCCCACUAAGGCCAGACAAGCAGCCCAGCUAGAAGAACAUAUCCCACAGACAGGCAACAGCUUUUGGGGUAGCCCACACUCCAGUUGUUCAGGACACAUACAUAUGAAGACCAAGCUGCACAACUGCUACAUACGUGAGGCGAGGCCUAGGUCCAGCCUCUGUAUGCUCUUUGGUUGCUCUUUCAGUCUCCGAAUGCUUCAACAGUCCAGGUUAGUUGAUGCUGCUGGUCUUCCUGUAGAGUUCCUAUCCCCUUCAGGGCCUAGAAUCCUUCCUCCUAUUCUUCCACAGGAUUCCCCAAGCUCCAUCCACUGUUUGGUUGUGGGUGUCUGAAUCAGUCUGAGUCAGCUGCUGGGUGGAGCCUCUCAGAGGACAAAAUGCUCCUAUCUGCAAGUAUAACAGAUAUCAUUAAUAGUGUUGAGGGUUGGUGCUUGACCAAGAGACGGCUCUCAAGGUGUUCUGGUUAUUGGUUGGCCAUUCUCUUAGUCUCUGCUCUAUCCCCCAUCACUGCAUUUCUUACAGACAAGAUAAAUUUGUCUGGCUACAGGAAGUGGCCUCUUCUGAUUCCAUAGCCCUAAUUCUGUGUGAGUCACAGCUAAGGUCACCUCCAUUGAAUCUUGGGGGCCUCCGUUAUCCCAGGCCUCUGUCAUAUCCUGGAGAUGUCCCUCAUCUUCCCACCCCAUCAGUUGCAGAUUUCCAUUCAUUCUCAUGGCCAUCUGGCCAUCUCUCCUAGCCUCUUCAUGCCUGAUCCUAAACCCUCCAUCCCCAUCCAUUCCCAACCCAUCCCCAUCCCCAUCCCCAUCCCCACCCCAUCUCUAUCCCCAUCCCCCUCCAUCCCCAUCCCCAUCCAUCCCCAUCCCCCUCCAUCCCCAUCCCCCUCCAUCCCCAUCCCCAUCCAUCCCCAUCCCCCUCCAUCUCCAUCCCCAUCCCCCUCCAUCCCCAUCCCCCUCCAUCCCCCUCCAUCUCCAUCCCCAUCCAUCCCCCUCCAUCUCCAUCCCCCUCCAUCCCCAUCCAGUUCUCUCCCUCCAUCUGCCUCUUAUGACCAUUUUAUUCUUCCUUCCAGUGAGAUUCAAGCAUCCUUGCUUGUGCCUUCCUUCUUUUAAUUUCUUUGGCUCUAUGUAGUGUAGCAUGGGUAUCCUGUAUCUUAUGGCUAAUAUCCACUUAUAAGUGAGUCCAUACCAUGCAUGUCCUUUGGGAUCCUGAUUACCUCACUCAGGAUGAUAUUCUCAAGUUCCAUCCAUUUGACUGCAGAAUUCAUAGCUGAAUAAUAGGGGUCCAUUAUGUGAUGUACCACAUUUUCUUUUCCAUUCUUCGGUUGAGGGACAUGUGGGUUGCUUCCAGUUUCUAGCUAUUAUAAAUAAGGCUGCUAUGAACACAGUUGAGCAAGUGUCUUUGUGGGAUGGUGGAGCAUCUUUUGGGUAUAUGCCCAGGAGUGGUAUAGCUGGAUCCUGAGGUAGAAUUAUUCCCAGUUUUCUGAGAAACCGCCAAAUUGAUUUGCAAAGUGGUUGUACAAGUUUGCAAUCCCACCAGCAAUGGUGGCGUGUUCCCCUUUCUCUACAUCCUCACCAGCAGGUGCUAUUACUUGAUUUUUUGAUCUUAGCCAUUCUGAAGGGUGUGAGAUGGAAUCUCAGAGUUGUUUUGAUUUGCAUUUCCCUGAUGACUAAGGACUUUGAACAUUUCUUUAAAUGUUUUUCUGCCAUUCCAGCUUCCUCUGUUGAGAAUUCUCUGUUUAGCUCUGUACCCCAUUUUUAAUUGGGUUAUUUGUGGGUUUAGUGUCUGACGCUUGAGUUCAAAUAUUUUGGAUAUUUACCCUCUGACAGAUGUAAGGUUGGAGAAGAUCCUUUCCCAAUCUGUAUGCUGCCAUUUUGUCCUUUUGAUUUAUUUUGUCAUAUAUAGAUACAGAUAAAGAUACAGAUGCAAAUACAGAUAUUUAGAGAGGGAUUCUCUGUUUAGUUCUGUCUGUUGUGGAACUUGCUCUGAGGACUAGGCUGGAUUCACCUGACUCUACCUCCAGAGUGCUGGGAUUAAAGGCCUACACCACCAUCAUCUGGCUUAAUUUUUUUUUUUUUAAAGACACGGGAGUGGUGGCACACGCAGUGUGGUCUCACAUAGCCUAAGCUUUCCUUGAAUUUUCUGUGUAGGGAAGGCUAAUCUUGAACGCAUGAUCCUCCUGCCUCUAGCUCUUGAAUUACUAGUGCACAUAUUACUGGUGUGUACUACCACACCUACGAUGCCCUGGAUUGACCUCAUGAUCUUAUGCACACACACUACACAAAUACUUUACCUACUGAACCACAUCCCCAGUCCCUCUAAUAUUUUUGAAAAAGCAAACGAAGAGGGCCAGAGUUAACCAGGUAGACACAUUUGCCAUGAAAUACUGAUGACCUCAGUUCAAUCCUCAGAACCCAUGUAAAAAGUCAGAUGUGAUGGCUCACGUCUGUAAUCCUAGCACUCCUGUGGCAAAACAGAAGAAUUGCUCAGAAGUUCAUAGGCCAGUUAACCUGGAAUACAAAAAAAGAGAUCCUGUCUCAACAAUAAGGUAGAUGGGCUGUCAAAAUGACUCAGCUUGUAAAAACACUUGCUGCAAAAGCCUGAUGACACGAGUUUGAAAGAAACAACUCCUUAGAGUUGCUUUUGGGACACACACACACACACACACACACACACACACACACACCAUACAUCAUACUGUAAAGAGAGCCAUGAUAUAGAGCAUUCUGAUUGGCAGAGAGAGAACAAGGAACUUCUGACUACAGCUUUCAGGAGUUUGUCAAUCUCUCCCAGCCCAAGCUCCAUAUAAGAACAAGCCAGAUGGGCAUGGUGGUGCACGCCUUUAAUCCCAGCACUCGGGAGGCAGAGGCAGGCGGAUUUCUGAGUUUGAGGCCAGCCUGGUCUACAGAGUGAGUUCCAGGACAGCCAGGGCUACACAGAGAAACCCUGUCUCGAAAAACCAACAACAACAACAACAAAAAAGAACAAGCCAAUCCAAGGUUUCAGAUCUGAGAGUCUCUGGGCAGGUCCAAACGCAUCCUGCUUGACCCUAAUCCAUAGAAGCUACGAGACGGUUGUCACGUGGUACGUGUUGUUUUAGGCUGUUGAUAGGCCUUCUGCUAUGUUAACAGAUGACUACCAUUGCCUAUAAAGCAUCACACUGUGAAGCUCACACGUGCUGUUCAUCCACUGUGGCCUUAGUGCUGCCUUGAAGUCUCCCAUUCCAACAGUCAGGACACAUGUAGGUCCUAUUUGGUCUCCCGUGUAGACGCUCUUUCCUCUCCAUUCCCUUUCCUCUUCCCAGCCUUCCUUAGGCUUUCCUGCCAGCCCAGCCCAGCCCAUUUUUUCUUUACAUGAUCCCCAAAGACUCUCAGCAGUAUCAUAGCUGGCCCCGUUCCUUUCCCUCUUAAACUUCUCCAUGGCUCCGUUGUCCUCAGAAGAAAAUGUAGGCUCCUUAACUGAGUCUGUGUGACAAAACUGUCUCCCCCCUCCAUGCUGGACAUCCUCCUGCUGCAUCCCUAAACUGCAGCUGCCCACCUACUCUGCUCAGCUACAAGCCUCCAUGCACUCAUUUUGUUGUUUCAUUUCAAGCAUUGAUUGAUUGAUUGAUUGAUGGCAUGUGUGUUGUGUGUGCAUGUCCUGUUGCCACUGUGGAGAUCAGAGGACAACUUUCAGGAGUCCGUAUUCCCCACUAUGUGAGCUCCAAGGAGCAAAUUUAGAUCAGUAGUUUUGGUGGUAAAGGCCUUGACACACUGAGCCAUGGCUUUGGGCCUUCCAUCAGUAUUUCAAAAAUUAUUAUGGUCCAGCCAGGCGUGGUGGUGCAUGCCUUUAAAACCAGCACUCGGGAGGCAGAGGCAGGCGGAUUUCUGAGUUCAAGGCCAGCCUGGUCUACAAAGUGAGUUCCAGGACAGCCAGGUCUACACAGAGAAACCCUGUCUUGGAAAAAGAAAAAGAAAAAAGAAAAAAGAAACUCUGUCAAAAAUGAUUAUGUUUUUAAAAUUACAUGUAGGUGUCUAUGGGGGUGGGGUAAGUGCAGUCGCCUCUGAGUGCAGUUUGAUUCAGAGGGCAGACAAUGGCACUGGAGCUCCUGAAGCUGAAGGCAAUCUUGAACCAAACUCAGGUCCUCAGGAAAAGCAGAAAGUGGGGCUGGCGAGAUGGCUCAGUGGUUAAGAGCGCUGACUGCUCUUCCAAAGGUCCCGAGUUCAAAUCCCAGCAACCACAUGGUGGCUCACAACCAUCCGUAACAAAAUCUGACUCCCUCUUCUGGAGUAUCUGAGGACAGCUACAGUGUACUUACAUAUAAUAAAUAAAUGAAUCAAAAAAAAAAAAGAAAGAAAGAAAAGCAGAAAGUGCUCUUAACCACUGAAUCAUCUCUCUAGCCUCCCUUCCAUCCACUUUUAAAAGAUUCAACCAUGCCGGGUGGUGGUGGCACACGCCUUUAAUCCUAGCACUUGGGAGGCAGAGGCAGGUGGAUUUCUGAGUUCGAGGCCAGCCUAGUCUACAAAGUGAGCUCCAGGACAGCCAGGGCUAUACAGAGAAACCCUGUCUCGAAAAACCAAACAAACAAACAAACAAAGAUUCAACCAUAGCCAAGUGUGGUUGCCCUUGCCUUUAAUUCUAGCACUCAGAAGGCAGAGGCACUCAGAUUUCUGAGUUUGACACCAGCUUGGUCUACAGAGUGAGUUCCAGGACAGCCAGGGUUACACAGAGAAACCCUGUCUCAAAACAAAUGAACAAAUGAAUGAAGGAGGAAACGAAAGAAAGGAAAACAGAAAGAUUCAACCUCUUGUUGCUAUGGUGGUACACACCUUUAAUCCCAGAACUUUGGAAGGUGAGGCGUAAGGAUAAAGAAUUUAAAGAUAGUAUCAGUUGAGUAGUAAAUUCAGUGUCAGCCCAGGUCAUAUAAGACCAUGUCUCAAAAACAAACAGGAGAUAGAGAGAUUUCUCAGUGGUUAAGAGCAUCUAUUGCCUUUGUAGUGCACAUAGGUUUGAUUCUCAGCACCAGCGCGGUGAUUCACAGCCAUCUGCAGUUGCAGUUCUAGGGGAUUCGAUACUCUCUUUUGACCUCCAUGGAAACUAAGCACACACAUGGUACACAGACAUACAUACCUGCAGGCAAAACAUUCAGACAUAAAAUAAAAUGACCAAGUCUAACUUUAAACCUUUAAACAAAGAAGAGCCGGUGGAAUGGUUCAGCCAAUGAAAGCAAUUGUCACCUGAUGAUACAAUGCUAGAAACCUGAGUGGGAUCCCCAGACACCAUUGAAAACUGGAGGGAGAGAGUGGAUUCCAUAAAGUUGUCCUUUGACCUAUGCACUUUGGCACAAGCAGCCUUUCCACUGGCACACACACACACACACACACACACACACCACAUAGCAGUAAUAUGUUUUUAAAACCCAGGGCUGGAAAAUUAGCUCAUUUGGUUAGAGUGCUUGCCUAGCACGGAUGAAGCCUUGGGUUCAAUCCCCGGACAGGAUGUGUGGGGGUGAUUGCCUGAAAUCCCAGCAGUCUAGAGACAGAGACAGGAGGGUCAAGAAUUCAAGUCAUUCUUGACUACACAUGGGCACGUGGGUUCAAGACCUGCCUGGGCUACAUGAGUUCUUAUCUCAAGAACAAAAUAAGAGGCUGGAGAGAUGGCUCAGUGGUUAAGAGCACUGACUGCCCUUCCAGAGGUCUUGAGUUCAAUUCCCAGCAACCACAUGGUGGCUCACAACCAUUUGUAAUGAGAUCUGAUGCCCUUUUAUGGAGUGUCUGAAGACAGCUACAAUGUGCUUACAUAUAAUAAAUAAAUAAAUCUUUAAAAAAAAUAACAAGGUCCAGUGAGGUGGCUUUAUAGGAAAAUAUUCUUUUUUGUUUUUGUUAUUGUUUUUUUUUUUUCAAGACAGGGUUUUCUGUAGUCCUGGUUGUCCUGGAACUCACUCUGUAGACCAGGUUGGCCUUGGACUCAGAAAUCUGCCUGCCUCUGCCUCCCGAGUGCUGGGAUUAAAGGUGUGCGCCACCACGCCCGGCAGGAAAAUAUUCUUGGUGCCAAGCUUCUUGACAACUUCAAGCCCCAACGAUGCACAUAGGUGAAAGAGAACUGGCUCUCACACGUUGUCCACCUCUGACCUCCACAGGCAUGCAGUAGCUUGUGCACUUCCCCUGGGAUAGACAGGUAGAUAGAUAGAUAGUUAGCUUUUAAAAUAUGAGAGAGAGAGAGAGAGAUUGAUUGAUUGAUUGAUUGAUUGAUUGAUUGAUUUACCAGGCUGGAGAGAUGGCUCAGAGGUUAAGAGUACUGGCUGCUUUCCCAGGGGUCCUGAAUUCAAUUCUCAGCAACAAUAUGGUGGCUCACAACCAUCUGUAAUGAGAUUUGGCACCCUCUUCUGGUGUGCAGGCAUAUAUGUAGACAGAACACUAUAAUACAUAGUAAAUAAAUAAGUUUUGAGAGAGGGUGGGGGUACACUUGCAGGAAGCCUUCUCUGACCUCUGCAGCCUUUAUCCAGGCUGUCUAUGCUUCCAAGUUGCCUUCUCUACCAGCAACCAGGUACCCCACCUAGUGUUUGCUGUGUGUGUGUGUGUGUGUGUGUGUGUGUGUGUGUGUGUGUGUGGUUUGGGGGGGGUGUCUAUCCUGCCUGUCAGUGUAGCUGACCAAAGACAGGAAUAGAUUUGAUUCACUUUGGCCCACCUCCACAGCCAGUAGAUGGGGUACCUCUGUCCACGGAUGCUGAAUGGGAAAGUGAAUGAAUGAAUCGAUGAAUGAAUGAUGCUGGGAAGUGAGUGGGCCUGUUCUCUGUAGUCUACCCUGUAGUGUCAGCUCUAUCCUCCCAUCACCCGAAGCCUCCAGUCCCUUGCAUCCUCUCCCCAGGUGUUCGUCAUCAGCCACAGCUGGGGCCUUUGUGUUUCUGGAAAGGAACAGAGAGUGGCUGUGUGGCUCUUCUUCCCACUGCAUAGGAAAAGGGUGAUGAUCAGCGCUUCUAGAAUGUCCUCAUUCAGGGUGAAGUGGAAAUGUCCCAGCUCUGGGGAGUCAGGUGGUCGGCAUUUUUACAUGCUGUUUCUCCUGGUCUCCUCCAAGGUAACAGAGUCAAUGCCUUACUCCCUACCCAUUGGACCUCUUAAUCUGUACAAGAGAGAGGUUGCCUGAGUGAGCCCCCUCUGAAUGGGACACUGUACAACUGAGAUUGGAAAUCACAUACCCAGAGAGUCUUGGAAGAGCUGGGGGAACGUCCAUGAAGCUCCUGAAAUUCUGUACUGAAUUUUGUGAGGAUGGGUGCUCCGUACGCACACCAGAUGUUCAUCAUUUUUAUCUGAUUCUCAGAGGGAAUUUCAAUGGCUGUAUUAACAACAAUAAAUAUAUAAAAGCAAGGACUAGAGAAUGGCUCAGUUGGUAGAGAAGGACUGCCUAGCAUGAUAAAGCCCUGGGUUCAAUCCCCACCACAGAAUAAACCAGGCAUGAAGGUGGUCCCCCCACAGUUCUAGCACUUGGCAGGUAAAAGUGAGAGGGUUAGAUGUUCAAAACCACCCUUCCAAAACACAGUGAGUUUGGGACCAGUUUAGACUACAAGAGUCUUGUUUUUGUUUUGCUUUGUUUUGUUUUGUUUUUAAAGAUUAGAUAGAUAGAUAUAGAUAAAUAGAUACAUGAUAGACAGAUAGAUAUAAUAGAUAGACAGGCAGACAGACAAAUAAUAAUUAGAUGAUAGAUGGGCAGACAGACAGAUAAUAGAUGAUAGAUAGACAGACAGACAGAAGGCAGGCAGAUUGAUGAGUAGAUGAUAGGUAUGU